CCCGGAAGGGGGGUGAUAUAGAUCCUGAAACCGUGUGCCUACAAGUAGUCGAAGCCCGUUAAUGGGUGACGGCGUACCUUUUGUAGAAUGGACCGGCGAGUUACGAUCCCCUGCAAGGUUAAGUUGUAUAGACGGAGCCGCAGCGAAAGCGAGUCUGAAUAGGGCGAUAUAGUAGGUGGUCGUAGACCCGAAACCGUGUGAUCUACCCAUGUCCAGGGUGAAGGUCAGGUAACACUGACUGG
rnacentral:rRNA from 1 species